GCCCUGCUGGCUCAAUGGUAGAGCAUUAGACUUCUAAUCUAAAGGUUGCGGGUUCGAUCCCCGCGUAGGGUU
rnacentral:tRNA from 1 species